UUGACUGGCUGGUGGUCCGCCUGUCGGAGGGUAGCACAGGUGUCUUCAGGCGAGUUCAAGGAGAACAGAAACCUCCUGUGGAGCAGAAGGGCUUAAGCUGGCUUGAUCUUGAUUUUCAGUAUGAACACAGACAACUGAAAGCAAGGGCCUCACCAGCUUUCUGUCUGUUUAGGGUUUUAAGCAGGAC
rnacentral:ncRNA from 1 species